AUUGAACGCUACAUCUCGCACGCCGUCUCCAUGUCGGGAAAGAUGAUCUGACAUUUCUUCAUUAUCAGAACGAUGCCGAACGUUCGAUUAUUACGGUCUGUAUCGAGUUCCGCUUUAAAUAUCGAGCCCACGAACUUGCUAUUGGUCUACGGCGGGGGAUUGCUACGUUCUUCGUGAUCAACAGCCUGAUAAAUCACCAGCAACAGCAGGUUUUUUAAAAUUAAACAUGUCAUUAAAGCUGAGAUAGACUCAACGGCGUAUUCGAGAUGGGCUUGCCUUUCUAAUUAACACAAGAUUCCAGAAAUACGUCAUAAAAGUAUCUGUUUAAGGAAAUUUCCAUUUUACGAAAUUAAAAGAAGUGCAU